AUUGAACGCUGGCGGCAGGCCUAACACAUGCAAGUCGAGCGGAUGAAGGGAGCUUGCUCCUGGAUUCAGCGGCGGACGGGUGAGUAAUGCCUAGGAAUCUGCCUGGUAGUGGGGGAUAACGUCCGGAAACGGGCGCUAAUACCGCAUACGUCCUGAGGGAGAAAGUGGGGGAUCUUCGGACCUCACGCUACCAGAUGAGCCUAGGUCGGAUUAGCUAGUUGGUGGGGUAAAGGCCUACCAAGGCGACGAUCCGUAACUGGUCUGAGAGGAUGAUCAGUCACACUGGAACUGAGACACGGUCCAGACUCCUACGGGAGGCAGCAGUGGGGAAUAUUGGACAAUGGGCGAAAGCCUGAUCCAGCCAUGCCGCGUGUGUGAAGAAGGUCUUCGGAUUGUAAAGCACUUUAAGUUGGGAGGAAGGGCAGUAAGUUAAUACCUUGCUGUUUUGACGGUACCAACAGAAUAAGCACCGGCUAACUUCGUG
rnacentral:rRNA from 1 species